rnacentral:lncRNA from 1 species
GAUAAUAAACGAUUAUAUCGAUACAAGAAUUAUAAUAAUAACUAUAUUUAUUAUUGCCUCUAGGGCAUAAUUCCAACACAUGCUCCCCCUGUCCAAAGGUGGUCGUCGUCUGCAAAGUUGUUGUGAGCGCUGCAGGGACGGGUCCAGGGAUGAUGUAUGUCCUGCUGGCGUGCGGCGAUGGCCUUGUUGCACCAGAAUGGAAACCUUUGGAAGAUGACUCGGGAACCCGCGUACGUCCUUCCCGCAUUUGCUCGAAAAGGGGAACUGCACCUUCCUGCAAUCCGCUGAUCGUCUGUCCUAUUGCCGUGUCAUCCUUGACCCUGAGGCCGGGUCUUGCCUCGGAAUCUCCACCGCUCCGGAGUGAUCCUGAUGUCACGCCCAAGAUGCGACCCUAUCCUAAAUUUGGCACGAGGGCCUCGUUAGGGAUAGAAGCGCAUCUCGUCGUGUCACAAUAAUAGAUAUAGUUACAAGUACAUGUACUCAAAAGAUGACUAUAAGGAGUUGGCUAUACUCACCACAAGCUACAUGAGAGUUACAGCAGUACAAUACAUAAUCAUCAUGAAGAAGAGCAGGGUCCGACUACGGACGAAAGCAAACGAGAAAAGAAGAACGACGUCCAUCCUAGCUAUCCCAGGCUGCCGGCCUGGAACCCAUCCUAGAUCGAUGAAGAAGAAGAAGAAGCAACUCCAAAUGAACAAUCAACGCGCUCGCGUCAAGUAACCUUUACCUGUACAAGAAAUAAGAGAGGGGAAGAUCUACGCAUAGUGGACGUGACUACUGAUGAUCAAAUGAAUGAUCCUGAACACCUACCUACGUCAGACAUAACCCCACCGUGUCCUCGAUCGGAGAAGGAACUCACGAA